CCCGGCCCAGGUCCCGCUGCCCCGGGCCCUAAUGCCGCGGUGCUAACUCCGGGCGCCUCGGGGCUCUCCAGCAAGCUCGAUCCCGGGGAGGAUGGAGAAGAAGAAGAAGAAGACGUCGGGGAAGAAGAGGACGACGCAACAGAGAAAGUCAAGGCAGCCCUGAUAUUGGAUGACCCCAGAACUAUGUCACACAACACCUUCAAACCGGAGAUUGUACCUGGGAAUGUUUUAAUGCCCUGGGAAUACACAUCUUACCAAAGCUGGACCAUAAAGGAUCUUAAUACUGACCUGAAGAUUUAGGAAACUCUUGUUUACACAUCAUCAUGGAUCCUCAAAAUUCCAGACCAGGAAUUCCAUGCUUGAACGUGCCCUGAAAUAUGAAGCAUGACAAAUAAGUUGCACCCCGGUACUUGUCAGAAUAAAAAUGGUUUGACAGCAGUUUCUCCAGGGGCUCACUGUUCUCCUGCAAGUCAUCAGCAGAGAAGAUGCUCCUGAAUGGAGACAUGGCAACUUCCCAAGCAUACCAGUGUUUUGGGAAUCCAUACUUCUUUACUCAACAGGUCCAGAUAAAGGAGGAGGCAUGGGUGGGCACGUGGAAAACACAUUUUAAUUUUUUGCCAUCUCACACUUUCAUUGUUUUCUCAUUAUUUUGAUGAUUUUUAAACGAGUCUCCUUGUGUCUUCUCUUCCCAUUUUCAAUUUUUUUUCAUAUAUUUCUCUAAAAAUUUUUCUAUAAACAUGAAUCCAGUGAUAUUGCCUCACUCAACCCCCAUCAACUCUCUAUGGUCUACUGAAUAAAUUCUCAAGUCUUUGGUAUUGUGUUGAGAGAAUGUCACAGUGUGGCCUCAAUUUAUCCUCCCAGCUAUAUUUCUAGUCACCUCCCUAUCAAAGGUGAAUCGGUCAUUCCACUUUGACCCCCAAAUCUCAGAAUCU